AGUUGUGCGAAAAGGUUCAAAGAAACGAAAGUGGUAUAGCCUCGUUGGUCGAUCACUCGGUCUCCACACUCAACUGUGCGUGCUCGCGCGUGCAUGUGGAGGGAAGGGGUUCGAUUCCAACGGGGAACGAAGCGCUAUCAUGCUAGUCCACUGGAGUUAUAUCCCACCUGGGCCUCGGCCUUGACUUAAAGCCCAGACCGUCUAGUGGGGUGGCGGGCUGGGUUAGGGUUUACUCUGGGCCGUCGCGUAGGGCAAAGCCCGCAAGACGUGUCUGUAGGUUCCCUAAUCAAAAAAAAAAAAAA